rnacentral:tRNA from 2 species
GGAGAGAUGGCUGAGUGGUCGAAAGCGGCGGUCUUGAAAACCGUUAUCUCGUGAAAGCGGGAUCGAGGGUUCGAAUCCCUCUCUCUCCUCCA